UACGUAGGGUGCAAGCGCUAAUCGGAAUUACUGGGCGUAAAGCGUGCGCAGGCGGUUUUGUAAGUCAGAUGUGAAAUCCCCGGGCUUAACCUGGGAACUGCGUUUGAAACUACAAGGCUAGAGUGUAGCAGAGGGGGGUGGAAUUCCACGUGUAGCAGUGAAAUGCGUAGAGAUGUGGAGGAACACCGAUGGCGAAGGCAGCCCCCUGGGUUAACACUGACGCUCAGGCACGAAAGCGUGGGGAGCAAACAGG
rnacentral:rRNA from 1 species